UACGAAGGGGGCAAGCGUUGUUCGGAAUUACUGGGCGUAAAGGGCGCGUAGGCGGUGCACUAAGUCAGGCGUGAAAGCCCUGGGCUCAACCCGGGAAUUGCGCUUGAUACUGGUGCGCUUGAAUCCAGGAGAGGUUGGUGGAAUUCCCAGUGUAGAGGUGAAAUUCGUAGAUAUUCGGAAGAACACCAGUGGCGAAGGCGGCUCACUGGACUGGUAUUGACGCUGAGGUGACGAAAGCGUGGGGAGCAAACAGG
rnacentral:rRNA from 1 species